UUGCACGGUUGGAUUAGUGGCGAACGGGUGAGUAUCACGUGAGUAACCUUCCCUUGACUCUGGGAUAAGCCCGGGAAACUGGGUCUAAUACCGGAUACGACCAGUCCUCGCAUGGGGUGCUGGUGGAAAGAUUUAUCGGUCUUGGAUGGACUCGCGGCCUAUCAGCUUGUUGGUGAGGUAAUGGCUCACCAAGGCGAUGACGGGUAGCCGGCCUGAGAGGGUGACCGGCCACACUGGGACUGAGACACGGCCCAGACUCCUACGGGAGGCAGCAGUGGGGAAUAUUGCACAAUGGGCGAAAGCCUGAUGCAGCGACGCCGCGUGCGGGAUGACGGCCUUCGGGUUGUAAACCGCUUUCAGCAGGGAAGAAGCGAAAGUGACGGUACCUGCAGAAGAAGCGCCGGCUAACUACGUGCCAGCAGCCGCGGUAAUACGUAGGGCGCGAGCGUUAUCCGGAAUUAUUGGGCGUAAAGAGCUCGUAGGCGGUUUGUCACGUCUGCUGUGAAAGCCCGGGGCUCAACCCCGGGUGUGCAGUGGGUACGGGCAGACUAGAGUGCAGUAGGGGAGACUGGAAUUCCUGGUGUAGCGGUGAAAUGCGCAGAUAUCAGGAGGAACACCGAUGGCGAAGGCAGGUCUCUGGGCUGUUACUGACGCUGAGGAGCGAAAGCAUGGGGAGCGAACAGGAUUAGAUACCCUGGUAGUCCAUGCCGUAAACGUUGG
rnacentral:rRNA from 1 species